AGCAGCGACCCGUAUGUGAGAUUCGAGAUGGCGGGGAGGGACGUGUUCAGAAGCAGAACCGUACACAAGAACCUCAACCCCGUCUGGAACCACAAGACCACCCUCGUCACGCACAACCUUGGUGAACCGCUCCACGUCAAGAGUCACAUCUUGGUGCCGAGAACUACAUCGAACUGAGUCGAGGAGCUUCAUGUUCAGGUGUUUGACUACGACUUUGGUCUUCAGGAUGACUUCAUCGGCUCAGCCGUCCUCCACCUGGACUCUCUGGAGCUACACAGGCUAACCCUGGUGACCUUGGUUCUGGAGGACCCGCAACACCCCGAGCAGGACCUGGGCUCGCUGGA